rnacentral:misc_RNA from 1 species
GUGAGUCAUCGAAUCUUUGAACGCACAUUGCGCCCGCCAGCAUUCUGGCGGGCAUGCCUGUUCGAGCGUCAUUUCAACCCUCGACCUCCCCCCGGGGAGGUCGGCGUUGGGGACCGGCAGCACACCGCCGGCCCUGAAAUGGAGUGGCGGCCCGUCCGCGGCGACCUCUGCGUAGUAGUCCAACCUCGCACCGGAACCCCGACGCGGCCACGCCGUAAAACGCCCAACUCUGAACGUUGACCUCGGAUCAGGUAGGAGUACCCGCUGAACUUAAGCAUAUCAAUAAGCGGAGGA